rnacentral:rRNA from 1 species
UAGGGAAUCUUCCGCAAUGGACGCAAGUCUGACGGAGCAACGCCGCGUGAGUGAAGAAGGAUUUCGGUUCGUAAAACUCUGUUGUUAUAGAAGAACAGCGCAUAGAGUAACUGUUAUGCGUGUGACGGUAUCUAACCAGAAAGCCACGGCUAACUACGUGCCAGCAGCCGCGGUAAUACGUAGGUGGCAAGCGUUGUCCGGAUUUAUUGGGCGUAAAGCGAGCGCAGGCGGUCAAUUAAGUCUGAUGUGAAAGCCCCCGGCUCAACCGGGGAGGGGCAUUGGAAACGGGUUGACUGGAGUGCAGAAGAGGAGAGUGGAAUUCCAGGUGUAGCGGUGAAAUGCGUAGAUAUAUGGAGGAACACCAGUGGCGAAGGCGACUCUCUGGUCUGUAACUGACGCUGAGGUUCGAAAGCGUGGGUAGCAAACAGG